CGGUUGCAAGUCAAGCAGACCAGAUAGUUAUUAUCAAUCAGUGCGCGAAUUAGCAGUUACCGAUAGUGUUAAAUGCGGUCUGACCGACAACGCAGUAUAAUAUUAGGAUGGUUCACACAAUAAAUACGAUGGCUUACUGGGAGUGAGCUGAGCAAUUCUUUUGAGAUCGGCCUUUUCUUGUUACCAACGAGUGUCGUGGUGAAGGUCGUGGUGGUUUCGCUAAUGGCAUGCAGAGCAGCGGGGCGGCCGGCAUGGCGCCGGUGGUCCUCCUCAUCUGUCCGGACAGGAUUGUCUCCUCAAGCAGACGCCGUGGGAUACACCUGCACACAGACACCACACCCAACACAACAACCCUAGAGUAAGACGGUAGGAUAAGUAGCAGCAAUAAAUGUAAGUACUCUAAACCUGAUCACUCCAUUCUAUUUGUGAAAUUAGAACUUUUCUUUUGCUCGGGAUGACUCGUGUAAGUCAGCGUUUUGGUUCCGCUUUCUCGAACCAGUUUCUUUCUUACGGGUCGAGCAGAUGGGUCGGGGGACCAGUGCUCAUUGCAACCCGUCUAUUUUACUCAAAUUUUGUCUCCCUGUCUCAUGCGCCCUCUGCGGAGCGGUGACAA